rfam:Schistosoma rodhaini strain Burundi genome assembly, scaffold: SROB_scaffold0001577
AUCCACCUCACGAGUCCCAAAUAGGACGAAACGCGUGUCCUGGAU